GUGUCAGCAGCCGCGGUAAUACGUAGGAGGCGAACGUUAUCCGGAUUUACUGGGCGUAAAGAGAGCGUAGGCGGUUUCCCAAGUCGGGUGCGAAAUCUCUUGACUCAAUCAGGAGGGGCUAUCCGAUACUGGGUGACUCGAGGGCGGCAGAAGGAAACGGAAUUCCGAGUGUAGCGGUGAAAUGCGUUGAUAUUCGGAGGAACACCAGUGGCGAAGGCGGUUUCCUAGGCUGUUCCUGACGCUGAGGCUCGAAAGCGUGGGGAGCGAAGCGGAUUAGAUACCCGCGUAGUCCACGCCCUAAACGGUGAACACUAGAUAUGGGGAGUAUCGACCCUCCUCGUGUCGAAGCCAACGCUUUAAGUGUUCCGCCUGGGGAGUACGGCCGCAAGGCUAAAACUCAAAGGAAUUGACGGGG
rnacentral:rRNA from 1 species